GAAUCCGCCAAGGGGAGCAAUGGAACAGGUCUUCGCCUAAAGAGCUGGCUGUCUAGUCUCCUGCAGGAGGCCUCACAGCGCUCCCAGCCAUGGCUUCCACCAAGCUAAGCUGCCUGCUGAGCAAGCCAAUGAUUCUAUCCCUGCAGGACCCAGCCAGAACUCUCCCCUUUUUUCCCCUUUGGCCCCAGGCUAGAUCCAGCCUAGGGCUGCCACUCUUCUCAUCUCUUCCGUAGCUCCCAGCAGCUCCUGGGUACCCAAGAGCCUGAGAACCUGAUGUCCCCUACUUCCGUGCAGGUCUGGGGACCCCUGAGCCAGCUCCGACGUCCCUGGGACCUCAGACUGUACUCCCCAGCUCCCACCCCUGGAGCGGGGUCCUGUGGCUUCCCAUAGCCUGAUGCCCGCCUGGCACUGGCCUCUGGGGUCUGGCUUCCUGCCUCCCAGCAGCACACACUUCCAGUCCAAUAACCAGACACCAGAGCCCAAGGUCCACAAUGCUCUCUGUGACCUCAGCAAAAGCUAGGACCAGGCCUAUUUCAAAGCAGAACUGCUUGCUGGGAGGAUGGGAGAUGGGGUUGGCUGGACCUGGUUGGUCAGGCGUCUGGUGUGGAGCUAAGGCGUCCAACCACAUCGACUCCUCCACGUCUGGCUUCAUUCCAGGUCCUGCUCGCUGCAGCUAGAACAGUUGCCCUUCUUGUCUGCUACGGAGUGAAAAACAGGAAUGUUGUGGAUUAAAUUCAAGAUGCCCUAUAUCACCAAUCACCAGUCAGUCCCUGUGAUGGUUUGUAUAUCCUUGGACCAGGGAGUGGCACCAUCUGAAGGUAUGGCCUUGUUGGAAUAGGUGU